GACGAACGCUGGCGGCGUGCCUAAUACAUGCAAGUUGAGCGCUGAAGGUUGGUACUUGUACCAACUGGAUGAGCAGCGAACGGGUGAGUAACGCGUGGGGAAUCUGCCUUUGAGCGGGGGACAACAUUUGGAAACGAAUGCUAAUACCGCAUAAAAACUUUAAACACAAGUUUUAAGUUUGAAAGAUGCAAUUGCAUCACUCAAAGAUGAUCCCGCGUUGUAUUAGCUAGUUGGUGAGGUAAAGGCUCACCAAGGCGAUGAUACAUAGCCGACCUGAGAGGGUGAUCGGCCACAUUGGGACUGGGACACGGCCCAAACUCCUACGGGAGGCAGCAGUAGGGAAUCUUCGGCGAUGGACGAAAGUCUGACCGAGCAACGCCGCGUGAGUGAAGAAGGUUUUCGGAUCGUAAAACUCUGUUGGUAGAGAAGAACGUUGGUGAGAGUGGAAAGCUCAUCAAGUGACGGUAACUACCCAGAAAGGGACGGCUAACUACGUG
rnacentral:rRNA from 1 species